GUGCCAGCCGCCGCGGUAAUACGUAGGUGGCAAGCGUUGUCCGGAUUUAUUGGGCGUAAAGCGAGCGCAGGCGGUUUCUUAAGUCUGAUGUGAAAGCCUUCGGCUCAACCGAAGAAGUGCAUCGGAAACUGGGAAACUUGAGUGCAGAAGAGGACAGUGGAACUCCAUGUGUAGCGGUGAAAUGCGUAGAUAUAUGGAAGAACACCAGUGGCGAAGGCGGCUGUCUGGUCUGUAACUGACGCUGAGGCUCGAAAGCAUGGGUAGCAAACAGGAUUAGAUACCCUGGUAGUCCAUGCCGUAAACGAUGAGUGCUAGGUGUUGGAGGGUUUCCGCCCUUCAGUGCCGCAGCUAACGCAUUAAGCACUCCGCCUGGGGAGUACGACCGCAAGGUUGAAACUCAAAGGAAUUGACGGGGGCCCGCACAAGCGGUGGAGCAUGUGGUUUAAUUCGAAGCAACGCGAAGAACCUUACCAGGUCUUGACAUCCUUUGACCACUCUAGAGAUAGAGCUUUCCCUUCGGGGACAAAGUGACAGGUGGUGCAUGGUUGUCGUCAGCUCGUGUCGUGAGAUGUUGGGUUAAGUCCCGCAACGAGCGCAACCCUUAUUACUAGUUGCCAGCAUUUAGUUGGGCACUCUAGUGAGACUGCCGGUGACAAACCGGAGGAAGGUGGGGACGACGUCAAAUCAUCAUGCCCCUUAUGACCUGGGCUACACACGUGCUACAAUGGAUGGUACAACGAGUUGCGAGACCGCGAGGUUUAGCUAAUCUCUUAAAACCAUUCUCAGUUCGGAUUGUAGGCUGCAACUCGCCUACAUGAAGCCGGAAUCGCUAAUAAUCGCGGAUCAGCAUGCCGCGGUGAAUACGUUCCCGGGCCUUGUACACACCGCCCGU
rnacentral:rRNA from 1 species